UUAAGAUCUCUCUGUAUUGAAUAUCUUUUCAUCCUCUGCUAAUUACAGGACAAACCUCAGGACUUUUACUCUCUCUGUCCUAUUUUUUUUUUUUUCAGGAUGUGGUACCUAUGCCAGUACUAUACUUAUUAGAGGAGUCAAUUCCUGAAUUGAACAUUCUGGAAUUUGGAGAAUGCUGUGAAGUUUUUCAGCUGCAGACCAUCUAUGCAGCAGGUCUGUUUAUGGAGUUUAAUAUCUAGUUCAGAUGAACAUGAUUUGGAGCCUAUCUGACAAGAAUCACAGAAUCACAGAAUGGCCUGGGUUGGAAGAGACCUCAAGGAUCAUGAAUCUCCAACCCCCCUGCCGGGCAGGGCCACCAAUCUCCCCAUUUACUAGACUAGGUUGCCCAGGGCCUCAUCCAACCUGGCCUUGAACACCUCCAGGGACAGGGCAUCCACAACCUCUCUGGGCAGCCUGUUCCAGCACCUCAGCACUCUCCUGGUAAAGAACUUCCCCCUAACAUCCAACCUAAAUCUUCCCUCUUUCAACUUAAAACCGUUCCCCCUUGUCCUGCUGUUACCUACCCUUUCAAAGAGUUUACUCCCUUCCUGUUUAUAGGCUCCCUUCAGGUACUGAAAGGCUGCAAUGAGGUCACCCCCGCAGCCUUCUCUUCUCCAGGCUGAAUAAGCCCAGCUCCCUCAGCCUGUCCUCGUAGGGGAGGUGCUCCAGCCUCUUGAUCAUCUUAGUG
ensembl:lncRNA